rnacentral:tRNA from 1 species
GGCUGGGUGGCUUAAUGGUAGAGUGCUUGCCUAGCAUGCAUGAAGUUCUAGGUUCUAUUCCUCACUGCCA